rnacentral:rRNA from 1 species
UACGGAGGGUGCGAGCGUUGUCCGGAAUCACUGGGCGUAAAGGGCGCGUAGGCGGCGCGGUAAGUCAUCGGUGAAAGCUCAGGGCUCAACCCUGAGUCGGCCGGUGAUACUCCCGUGCUUGAGUGUGGUAGAGGCCAAUGGAAUUCCGGGUGUAGCGGUGGAAUGCGUAGAGAUCCGGAAGAACACCGGUGGCGAAGGCGGUUGGCUGGGCCACAACUGACACUGAUGCGCGAAAGCGUGGGGAGCGAACGGG